rnacentral:rRNA from 1 species
CCCUACGGGGGGCAGCAGUGGGGAAUAUUGCACAAUGGGGGAAACCCUGAUGCAGCGACGCCGCGUGAGUGAAGAAGUAUUUCGGUAUGUAAAGCUCUAUCAGCAGGGAAGAUAAUGACGGUACCUGACUAAGAAGUUCCGGCUAAAUACGUGCCAGCAGCCGCGGUAAUACGUAUGGAGCAAGCGUUAUCCGGAUUUACUGGGUGUAAAGGGAGCGCAGACGGCAAGGCAAGUCGGCGGUCAAAUCGCGGGGCUCAACCCCGCCCAGCCGUCGGAACUGCCGGGCUAGAGUGGGCGAGAAGUGC